CAGUCCCCGCCCACCCGCCCCCUCCGCUUCCUCCGGGGCGGGGCGGGGCGGGGCGGGAAGGCGGGGAGUGCGCAGGCGUGGCGCGCGCCGCGGGUGACCGUUAAGCGGCCGCUGGUCUCCUUACGGUUACCGGUGUCCUUGGUCGUGCUCGGUGCCGGCCUUCGGGUCCUCGCUGCCUCAGGAAUGGAGGCGGGAAGGAGCCCCCGGGUCCGCGGCGGGGCUGCCGGCCGCCUCGGGGGGCUGUCCCGCGCGGUGUGGAGCUGUAGAGGAUGUGCAGGCUUUCCCAAGGGAACUCGGUGGGGUUUGCCUGCCCAGGAACUAGAGGAGGUCCGGAUGAGGAGACCGGAGCUGCUGCAGGAGCAGCGUUCUGUGUUUUUUACCAGUUAGAUGCCACGAGAAGGGCUGCAAGAAGGGGUGUCUGCAUCUGAUGUCUGCUACCUCAAGUCCAUGUGAGAGAUGAGGAUGAGCCUUUAUCCCCAGUCACAGUGGAGGCGAUGGGAAAGCUUUCAGCCCUGCUGAGGAGAUGAUGGUUUUGAGUAGUGUAACUUUCUGAUGGUUAGUAGUUCUACUAAAGCAGGACUUUAGUAGUCCUUUCCUCCCUCAUUAAGUCUCUGAUGCUCCCCAGUAAAUGCCACUGUAUUCUUCAGAUUCUCAUUUGCCCAAUUUGACACUAUGAGAAGAGGUGAGUGGGAAAUGUCUGGCCUCAGGGAGGUGGGGGCCAUAGAAAAUAAACAAUUCCAGAGCUUCCAAGAAAGGACUCUGACAUACUUGCUAA